GACGAACGCUGGCGGCGUGCCUAAUACAUGCAAGUCGAGCGGACCAAAUCGGAGCUUGCUCUGAUUUGGUCAGCGGCGGACGGGUGAGUAACACGUGGGCGACCUGCCCGCAAGACCGGGAUAACUCCGGGAAACCGGAGCUAAUACCGGAUAACACCGAAGACCGCAUGGUCUUUGGUUGAAAGGCGGCCUUUGGCCGUCACUUGCGGAUGGGCCCGCGGCGCAUUAGCUAGUUGGUGAGGUAACGGCUCACCAAGGCGACGAUGCGUAGCCGGCCUGAGAGGGUGACCGGCCACACUGGGACUGAGACACGGCCCAGACUCCUACGGGAGGCAGCAGUAGGGAAUCUUCCGCAAUGGGCGAAAGCCUGACGGAGCGACGCCGCGUGAGCGAAGAAGGCCUUCGGGUCGUAAAGCUCUGUUGUGAGGGACGAAGGAGCGCCGUUCGAAGAGGGCGGCGCGGUGACGGUACCUCACGAGGAAGCCCCGGCUAACUACGUGCCAGCAGCCGCGGUAAUACGUAGGGGGCGAGCGUUGUCCGGAAUUAUUGGGCGUAAAGCGCGCGCAGGCGGUUCCUUAAGUCUGAUGUGAAAGCCCACGGCUCAACCGUGGAGGGUCAUUGGAAACUGGGGGACUUGAGUGCAGGAGAGGAGAGCGGAAUUCCACGUGUAGCGGUGAAAUGCGUAGAGAUGUGGAGGAACACCAGUGGCGAAGGCGGCUCUCUGGCCUGCAACUGACGCUGAGGCGCGAAAGCGUGGGGAGCAAACAGGAUUAGAUACCCUGGUAGUCCACGCCGUAAACGAUGAGUGCUAAGUGUAGAGGGGUCACACCCUUUAGUGCUGCAGCUAACGCGAUAAGCACUCCGCCUGGGGAGUACGGCCGCAAGGCUGAAACUCAAAGGAAUUGACGGGGGCCCGCACAAGCGGUGGAGCAUGUGGUUUAAUUCGAGGCAACGCGAAGAACCUUACCAGGUCUUGACAUCCCCUGACAACCCAAGAGAUUGGGCGUUCCCCCUUCGGGGGGAUAGGGUGACAGGUGGUGCAUGGUUGUCGUCAGCUCGUGUCGUGAGAUGUUGGGUUAAGUCCCGCAACGAGCGCAACCCUCGCCUCUAGUUGCCAGCACGAAGGUGGGCGCUCUAGAGGGACUGCCGGCGACAAGUCGGAGGAAGGUGGGGAUGACGUCAAAUCAUCAUGCCCCUUAUGACCUGGGCUACACACGUACUACAAUGGGCGGUACAAAGGGCUGCGAACCCGCGAAGGGGAGCGAAUCCCAAAAAGCCGCUCUCAGUUCGGAUUGCAGGCUGCAACUCGCCUGCAUGAAGCCGGAAUCGCUAGUAAUCGCGGAUCUGCAUGCCGCGGUGAAUACGUUCCCGGGCCCUUGUACACACCGCCCGUC
rnacentral:rRNA from 1 species